rnacentral:lncRNA from 1 species
UACAUUAUUUAAUAUUAUGGGUAUUUUGCUAAAUUGAUUCUCAUUCUCAUUUAUUUUGCCAAGUAAACACAUCAAUGGCAUUUUAGCACAUUCUCAUUCCCAUUUAUUUUUGCCAAGUAAACAUUGGAAUCUUAUUUCUAUUCCUCAUUCUCAUUUCAGCCAAUUCUCAUUUCAUGAAGUAAACGCACCAUUAGACCUAUGUUGGAUCUAAGUAAAAGAUUUAGUAUAGGGACUCGGGCUUGAAAUAAAAAGGUCUUGCUUUAGAAUCUUAACAACUACAGGGGGAAAUUAGAUUGGAAAACAUUUGACGGAGAGUUACAUAAUCUAUGAUGUUGAGGCAUAUAGUAAUUAUUUCUAGCUAAAGUUGAUUGUUGGAAUAACAAUCUGUUUGCACAUUACAGCUGACAAGAUUUUUUUUUUUUUUAAUUUUUUUUCCCUGCUGCUGGCUGCUUGGUUGAAAGCCUGAAUUCGCUGCUGCGUUAAUUCUCCAUAUGAAAGCUAUCUUUUUUGGAUUUCUAAGCCAUCACAUUACAUAAAAUAAUGAACUAACAGCUUGGAUGCUUUGUUCGUCCCUUUCCAACUAGCAUUAAAAUUGUCUUGUUCAACAGUUAGAACUCAUUUCACAUGAUAGUAAGUAUAAUUGCCCUCGAAAAACUUGUGGGACCUAAUUUAGCCAUUCUAUUGUAGGAAGGACUUGAAUGCACAGUAAGAAAGACAUACAUCGAUGCCAUGGUAAAUAUCUCAAUUCAUUCAUCCCUACAAUUGUUUGGAUAUCUUUAUGUUUGUAUAUGGUCAGAAAGCAAAUUGUUCAGUGGAUUUGUAUAUUUGUUGUCAGUUUCAUCCUAAAAUGUAGGGUUUUAUAUUUUCCUUAUAUUAUCAUGGGUGAAGCUAUUUGCGCUCUAAAGUUUAUUUUGAACACUUUAAAU